rnacentral:tRNA from 1 species
GAGCCAUUAGCUCAGUUGGUAGAGCACCUGACUUUUAAUCAGGGUGUCGAUGGUUCGAGUCCAUCAUGGCUCACCA